rnacentral:rRNA from 1 species
AGAGUUUGAUCAUGGCUCAGGAUGAACGCUAGCUACAGGCUUAACACAUGCAAGUCGAGGGGAAACGAUAUUGGAAGCUUGCUUCCGAUAGGCGUCGACCGGCGCACGGGUGAGUAACGCGUAUCCAACCUGCCCAUCACUUGGGGAUAACCUUGCGAAAGUAAGACUAAUACCCAAUGAUAUCUCUAGAAGGCAUCUGAAAGAGAUUAAAGAUUUAUCGGUGAUGGAUGGGGAUGCGUCUGAUUAGCUUGGUUGGCGGGGUAACGGCCACCAAAGCAACGAUCGAGUAGGGGUUCUGAGAGGAAGGUCCCCCANAUUGGAACUGAGACACGGUCCAAACUCCGUACGGGAGGCA